rnacentral:rRNA from 1 species
GACGAAGGAUGCAAGCGUUAUCCGGAUUUAUUGGGUUUAAAGGGAGCGUAGGCGGUCUUGUAAGUCAGUGGUGAAAUCUCGCAGCUUAACUGCGAAACUGCCAUUGAUACUGCUUGACUAGAGUAUAGAUGCUGUGGGCGGAAUAUGACAUGUAGUGGUGAAAUACAUAGAGAUGUCAUAGAACACCGAUUGCGAAGGCAGCUCACAAAACUAUAACUGACGCUGAGGCUCGAAAGUGUGGGGAUCAAACAGG